AGCGAACGCUGGCGGCAUGCCUAACACAUGCAAGUCGCACGGUCGGGGGGGUGACCUUCGGCAGUGGCGGACGGGUGAGUAACGCGUAGGGAUCUAUCCUUUGGAUGGGGGGACGAACCGCGGGAAACCGCGGCUAAUACCGCAUGAUGCCUGAGGGCCAAAGCUCGCGAGAGCGUCUGGGGAGGAGCCUGCGUCCGAUUAGCUUGUUGGUGGGGUAACGGCCCACCAAGGCGUCGAUCGGUAGCUGGUCUGAGAGGAUGAUCAGCCACACUGGGACUGAGACACGGCCCAGACUCCUACGGGAGGCAGCAGUGGGGAAUAUUGGACAAUGGGCGCAAGCCUGAUCCAGCAAUGCCGCGUGGGUGAAGAAGGUCUUCGG
rnacentral:rRNA from 1 species